UUCUUCGGGGCAGGGUGAAAUUCCCUACCGGCGGUGACAGUCCGCCCGCUACGGCGGUUGAAUCGGUGAAAUUCCGGUACCGACAGUAUAGUCUGGAUGAGAGAAGAA
rnacentral:ncRNA from 1 species